UCCACCGGAGCUUGCUCCACCGGAAAAAGAAGAGUGGCGAACGGGUGAGUAACACGUGGGUAACCUGCCCAUCAGAAGGGGAUAACACUUGGAAACAGGUGCUAAUACCGUAUAACAAUCAAAACCGCAUGGUUUUGAUUUGAAAGGCGCUUUCGGGUGUCGCUGAUGGAUGGACCCGCGGUGCAUUAGCUAGUUGGUGAGGUAACGGCUCACCAAGGCCACGAUGCAUAGCCGACCUGAGAGGGUGAUCGGCCACAUUGGGACUGAGACACGGCCCAAACUCCUACGGGAGGCAGCAGUAGGGAAUCUUCGGCAAUGGACGAAAGUCUGACCGAGCAACGCCGCGUGAGUGAAGAAGGUUUUCGGAUCGUAAAACUCUGUUGUUAGAGAAGAACAAGGAUGAGAGUAACUGUUCAUCCCUUGACGGUAUCUAACCAGAAAGCCACGGCUAACUACGUGCCAGCAGCCGCGGUAAUACGUAGGUGGCAAGCGUUGUCCGGAUUUAUUGGGCGUAAAGCGAGCGCAGGCGGUUUCUUAAGUCUGAUGUGAAAGCCCCCGGCUCAACCGGGGAGGGUCAUUGGAAACUGGGAGACUUGAGUGCAGAAGAGGAGAGUGGAAUUCCAUGUGUAGCGGUGAAAUGCGUAGAUAUAUGGAGGAACACCAGUGGCGAAGGCGGCUCUCUGGUCUGUAACUGACGCUGAGGCUCGAAAGCGUGGGGAGCAAACAGGAUUAGAUACCCUGGUAGUCCACGCCGUAAACGAUGAGUGCUAAGUGUUGGAGGGUUUCCGCCCUUCAGUGCUGCAGCUAACGCAUUAAGCACUCCGCCUGGGGAGUACGACCGCAAGGUUGAAACUCAAAGGAAUUGACGGGGGCCCGCACAAGCGGUGGAGCAUGUGGUUUAAUUCGAAGCAACGCGAAGAACCUUACCAGGUCUUGACAUCCUUUGACCACUCUAGAGAUAGAGCUUCCCCUUCGGGGGCAAAGUGACAGGUGGUGCAUGGUUGUCGUCAGCUCGUGUCGUGAGAUGUUGGGUUAAGUCCCGCAACGAGCGCAACCCUUAUUGUUAGUUGCCAUCAUUCAGUUGGGCACUCUAGCAAGACUGCCGGUGACAAACCGGAGGAAGGUGGGGAUGACGUCAAAUCAUCAUGCCCCUUAUGACCUGGGCUACACACGUGCUACAAUGGGAAGUACAACGAGUCGCGAAGUCGCGAGGCUAAGCUAAUCUCUUAAAGC
rnacentral:rRNA from 1 species